rnacentral:lncRNA from 1 species
ACACCAACCUUAUGACUUCACUAAUCAAGCAUGGAAUAAAUUCCAUCUUCCACCCAACUAUAUCACCAUAAACAACACAACUCAAGGGAUUUAAUCAUCACAAUACAGAACUAAACACUCUUUUAUGCUCUCAAUUUAUUUCCAACACACAAAGUCGAUUUUCUAACAAAUAUCUCAAUAUACACUCGACUUUAUACUUUUUUCUCUUUCUUUUUUUUUUCAUAACUUUUCUAGAGCUCAUAAGAGUAAAUAGUAACACAAAAUCAUCCCUUCUUCUUCACAACCCACUAUGAAUAUUCACCACAUAAAGAUUCCCAUAUACUUCAUCACCCCCUAUCAUCCAGCUAAAGAAUAAAAGCUAAAUAGGCUCAAAGUGGAUAACAAAGGAUAAUUUUUUCAAGGACAGUGUUUGGGAUAAUAAUGUG